rnacentral:rRNA from 1 species
GACGAACGCUGGCGGCGUGCUUAACACAUGCAAGUCGAACGGUAAGGCCCUUCGGGGUACACGAGUGGCGAACGGGUGAGUAACACGUGGGUGAUCUGCCCUGCACUUCGGGAUAAGCCUGGGAAACUGGGUCUAAUACCGGAUAGGACUCCGGACUGCAUGGUCUGGGGUGGAAAGCUUUUGCGGGGUGGGAUGGGCCCGCGGCCUAUCAGCUUGUUGGUGGGGUGAUGGCCUACCAAGGCGACGACGGGUAGCCGGCCUGAGAGGGUGACCGGCCACCCUGGGACUGAGAUACGGCCCAGACUCCUACGGGAGGCAGCAGUGGGGAAUAUUGCACAAUGGGCGCAAGCCUGAUGCAGCGACGCCGCGUGAGGGAUGACGGCCUUCGGGUUGUAAACCUCUUUCAGCAUCGACGAAGCGAAAGUGACGGUAGGUGCAGAAGAAGGACCGGCCAACUACGUGCCAGCAGCCGCAGUAA